UACGAAGGGUGCAAGCGUUACUCGGAAUUACUGGGCGUAAAGCGUGCGUAGGUGGUGAGUUAAGUCUGUCGUGAAAGCCCCGGGCUCAACCUGGGAAUGGCGAUGGAUACUGGCUCGCUAGAGUGCGGUAGAGGAGAGUGGAAUUCCCGGUGUAGCAGUGAAAUGCGUAGAGAUUGCCAGGAACACCAAUGGCGAAGGCAGCUUGCUGGGCCACUCCUGACACUGAUGUACGAAAGCGUGGGGAGCGAACAGG
rnacentral:rRNA from 1 species